UACGAAGGGGGCUAGCGUUGCUCGGAAUCACUGGGCGUAAAGGGUGCGUAGGCGGGUCUUUAAGUCAGGGGUGAAAUCCUGGAGCUCAACUCCAGAACUGCCUUUGAUACUGAAGAUCUUGAGUUCGGGAGAGGUGAGUGGAACUGCGAGUGUAGAGGUGAAAUUCGUAGAUAUUCGCAAGAACACCAGUGGCGGAGGCGGCUCACUGGCCCGAUACUGACGCUGAGGCACGAAAGCGUGGGGAGCAAACGGG
rnacentral:rRNA from 1 species